GUGAGCAGAGAGGGCUUAAAUACUGGCUUGAUUGGUGAUGGGAAGCAGGUGAGUCAAGUAGGUAAGGGGAGUUGGUCUGAUGAGGGAGGUGUGGCUGGCAGGUGAGUGGAGAGUGAAUGGAAAAGUACUGAGAGGCAGGUGAGAGAGGAGCAGACUGUGACACACUCGCUCAUGAUGGGAUUUGGAGUUGCAUGUAGAAGAGACCAAAAAAGACAGAGACGUGCCCGGUGGGGUUACAGGCAGCUGUUUGGGUGUUGAGGAAUAAAAGAGGAGGAUGGAGGAGGAGGAGGAAGAUGAAGAAGAGGAGCCGUUCCUCUCCGGUGGGCGAUGACAUCCCAGCACCUGCGCGGAGACAGACUUUUUAAAAUCAAUCUGGAUAUGGCAGAAAACAAAUCUGGACUGAACAAGGCCAAAGACUAGCAGGUUUGUUGUGGAGCAGCUGAGGAGAUCCAUCCAGGGGCAGUUUGUUUUCCAGAGAGGAGCAGCAAUGGUGGACGGCCCUUGAUUUAUUAGAACCACGAGCCAAGUGACCAUGAUGAAGUGCAUUUCCAUUUUAAAAGACUAUACAGCUUCAUCUGGAGAGGGAAGAAGAAAGUUAAAGAGCAGAGGAAUGCAAAGAGAAUGGAGUUGAUGACGAGAGUGGAGCUGCAAUAAUCACAAAGACGGAGACCACUGGAGAAAAUAGAUACACCAGAGUCUGUUUUAUUAGAGAGAUAUCCUUAAAAAACACAUUUAAAUGCACUAAAAUACGAUAAUAUAUUUGAACAUGUGGAUGAGUAUGGUUGCCGGGGAAAAAGAAGAGUGAACGAUUUAGAGAUGUUUUUAGUCGGGACAUUGAUAUCAGAUAUUUAAUCCUCUGUGAAGUUGUAAUUCCACAUACUUAAGCGGCAAAACAUUUUGAGAUAGUCGCUGCCAAACCUUCCAAUCUUGUAAGGGUUGUGUAAUGAAAGUAGGGCUCUGGCAGUGCAUGGGUGGUAUAUCACAAAGAACCCAUGGGAAUAUUUCUUUUUUUUUUUUUUUAAGUGUCUUUGCCGACAUCAUACUCAUUCAAAAAACAUCGAAAUAAAAAACAAAACCAAAGAGCCCGCCGCGGAUGCGUCCUGUGUCCGCUGCCCGCUUUGCAGAGCUCGUGUGCAUCCUUCAGAUGGAGUGUAACAAACAGGCUCCCAUCCGGAGGAGUGAUGGAGUGUUUCUUAAAUGAAAAUACACCUGUCUUUAGGACAAAUAUGUGCCACUAAUUACCUGUCUAACCUAAAUCUCUGGGCGCCAGAUGUUGCUAAAACACAGCGAGACAGAGACAAAUUGCAGCAUGCUGUUGUAGCCCUGCACGUAAAUAUAGUAGAGGCUUAAAUCAUCUUUUCCUUGACCCUGUUAGAGAAGUUGCUCAAUGUGAUUUUGGAGUGUGCUGCACCUGUAGGAAACUAAUUGUAAAGAUAGGGUAAGGUAUCACAGUAUCACAUAAUCUCUCUUCCGCUCUCUGUCUCUGUCUCUCUCUCUCUCUCUCUCGCUCUCUUUUGGCUUGACCGAGCCAUAAGCAGGAUUACAUUUUGAUCUGUAUCCUUGCUUCCAAUUCAGAUUUCUAUUUCAGUUAUGUAGACUCCCCAUAUCCUCCUCC